rnacentral:rRNA from 1 species
UACAGAGGUCUCAAGCGUUGUUCGGAUUCAUUGGGCGUAAAGGGUGCGUAGGUGGCGCGCUAAGUCAGGUGUGAAAUUUCGGAGCUUGACUCCGAAACUGCAUUUGAUACUGGCGUGCUUGAGGACUGGAGAGGAGACUGGAAUUCACGGUGUAGCAGUGAAAUGCGUAGAUAUCGUGAGGAAGACCAGUGGCGAAGGCGGGUCUCUGGACAGUUCCUGACACUGAGGCACGAAGGCCAGGGGAGCAAACGGG